rnacentral:lncRNA from 1 species
UUUUUCUUCUAUUUUUUUAUAUCUAAGAUAGAGCUUUGGAUAAAGCACUAAUAAAGGCCACUGAUUAUUUAUUUUGUAUCUCUAUAUAUGAUAGCAUUUUUCAAAGAGUGCUAUCAUAGUCUCAGAAUUAAUUUUUUAUUUUUUUAUUUUCCUCCUAUAAUAGCACUUUUUGAGAAAGAGCUAUUAUAUAUCCAAAUAAUUUGUAUCCUAUUACAGCUACAAUAGCUCUCGUAACAAACGUUAUUAAAUGUGCGAUAUUGUAGGUCAC